AGAGCGAACGCUGGCGGCAGGCCUAAUACAUGCAAGUCGAACGGAUCCUUCGAGAUUAGUGGCGGACGGGUGAGUAACACGUGGGAACGUGCCCUUUGGUUCGGAACAACUCAGGGAAACUUGAGCUAAUACCGAAUGUGCCCUUCGGGGGAAAGAUUUAUCGCCAUUGGAGCGGCCCGCGUCUGAUUAGCUAGUUGGUGGGGUAACGCCUACCAAGCCUUCGAUCCGUAGCUGGUCUGAGAGAAUGAUCAGCCACACUGGGACUGAGAUACGGCCCAGACUCCUACGGGAGGCAGCAGUGGGGAAUAUUGGACAAUGGGGGCAACCCUGAUCCAGCAAUGCCGCGUGAGUGAUGAAGGCCUUAGGGUUGUAAAGCUCUUUCGCCCGCGACGAUGAUGACGGUAGCGGGAGAAGAAGCCCCGGCUAACUUCGCGCCAGCAGCCGC
rnacentral:rRNA from 1 species